CCCGACACCAAGGGAGUAUAUUUUUCUAAUCUGCAAGGAAGCCCCUAUCUCCAUCCUCCUUCUCCCUCUACAACCCCUUUCUAAUUCUCUCACAUCUCCAAGUUCCCUAAGUGUUGAGGCUUUAAAAAAUCAAAGCAGAAAUUCUUGCAUGGUGUAUCUUCUUACUACCCUGCAAGUAACACAUCUCCCCCCAAAGACUGGAAAGCACAGUCAGAUAUUUUUUUGAAAAGGCAAAAGAUAAAGAAGAAAUUGCUGGACAGGAAAAAAAAAAAAAAAAAGGCCUAAACUGCUAUUUCAAAAUACUCUCUGGCCCUGAGUGCAAAUGUACUUGUGUCACAGCCCCACUUAAUUGCUUCCUAUUGCCCUUGGAAUCAAGUUCAAAUGCAUCUCACGGUCUUGGGGGGUUUUGCCUGAUAUCAUCCCUGCUUCCCUCUGCAAGUUCUCUAAUCCCCCUCUCUCCUGUUGCUCGGACACUCUGGAUAGUCCUCCUGCCUUUAGUAAAAGACACUGGUCCUGGGCUUGGAAUGCUCUGUGCCUGCCUCUCCCCCCACCUGGCUCACAGCUAGCCCGCAUCCUCAGGGCUAAAAUAUGCAUCUUCGGGAGGCUGCCUUGCCCCCCCAAGGUUUGCUCCAUCAUUCUGGGAUCUCACAGCUUCACCUGUGUGGCUCCUUCCCUGCCUGCGUUGUGUGCCUGUUCAGCGUCUGGAAAUUCCACAAGGCUUGUGUGUGUGUGUGUGUCUGUGUGUGUGUUUGUCUAUUCCGGCUUCUCUGUGCCCUCCUUCCCCCGCCCCCCAUGGAGCAAUAAAUGAGGAUAUGCAUUUAAACCAAGCUCAUCUAUGAAGCAUUUUACCCACACUUAUAUUUAUCCUUACUAGAGAUUUGCUUUUCAUUCAGAAUAUUCUCAUGUUUAUUCUUGGACUUCUUCCUACAAAUGUCUGCACAGCCUAGUUUCUGUGGGAGCAAAGGCGAGGAGAGGGGAGAAGGGCGGGGGAGGGAGACUGCACUUUUGUUCACAGAAGCAAUGGACCCCAGAAUAGCAGGGCUCUGGGAGCCAGGACACUGAGGCUCAGCUAUUUUUAGGGGACAUUUGUUGGUUUUUAACACGUUGGAGGCUUGUUUCAGAGAUCUCCACUCUCUGCAAAAAAAGGGAAAAAAAAAAGGAAAGAAACAGGAAAUGAAAAAGUCAGCAAAAAGAAGGUCAGACAAAGUUCCAAAGGCCUCCAACAUCAAUAUUUUUUUUAAAGGAGGGAAAAAAAGCCAACUUUUUUUUAAUGAAAAGAAAACCCUGUUUUAUUAACUGAUGAUAGCUUUAUGACAGUUGUGUGAUCUGGUCUAUAAUUUUUAAGUCAUUCUUGAACUUGUCCCUCUGGAAUCUCUCCUCUAGUUGCUCAAGAACUAAAAUCUCAACAGCAUGAUUUCUGUGCUGCAAACUGACAGCUCGGGCUCCUGGCACAGGGCUAUUCACAAGGCCAAGCAGAUGUGAACUGCAUGCGUGGGGACAUUCCCAUACCCGGGUGUCACACUUCCAAAGAUUAUGUGACAUAAUGGUGCAAAAACAAAAUGAAAUGACUCUGGUCCCGGCACAUAAAUAAUACUUUAAUAUUGCCAGAAGUUGUCUCUCUUUCUCUUUUCUUUCCUCCUAAUGUUUAAUGAGUUCCCUUCUCUCUACUAAGCACAGAGUCAAGCCCUAGAUAUUUCCAAAACGGAACACUGAAAUCUUGACUUUGAAAAAGAACAGUGCAAUCAUAUCAAAGUGUGAUUUUCCUAAAAACAGGGACGUUUUCAAAAAGAAAUCCUCUGAAAGUAGGAAGUUAUUCUUCUCAACCUUAAGAUUAUUUCUCCUCGUAUAGUAGAUGACUGAGGAUUCCCAAGGGCAGGAACAUACAUUCUACUUAGAUAAAAUACUUAGAGACUUUAAAGAGUCAUAAAUAAAGAUGCAAAAACAUCCUGGUAUUGUAUUCUCACAUCUGAGAAUUUAUCCAGUGAAAAUUAAUCCUCAAGAUGGAGAAAGCGUUAUGCACAAAGAUGUCCAAUGUAAUUUUAUUUCAAAGAGGAAAACAACCUAAUGCCUUUAAACAAAUUAUUGGUUUAAUGCAGUACUAUACAAGCAUUUAAAAUAAGAUAUACAGGGAGUUCCUGUUGUGGCUCAGUGGUAAUGAACCCGACUAGUAUCCAUGAGGAUGUGGGUUCCAUCCCUGGCCCCACUCAGUGGGUUAAGGAUCUGGUGUCGCUGUGAGGUGUGUUGUAGUCGAAGAUGGGGCUCAGGUCCCGUGUUGCUGUGGCUGUGGCUGUGGCAUAGGCCAGCAGCUGCAGCUCUGAUUUAGCCCCUAGCCUGGGAACUUCCAUAUGCCAUGGGUGUG
rnacentral:lncRNA from 1 species